CCUACGGGAUGCAGCAGUGAGGAAUAUUGGUCAAUGGGCGCGAGCCUGAACCAGCCAAGUAGCGUGAAGGAUGACUGCCCUACGGGUCGUAAACUUCUUUUAUCAAGGAAUAAAGUGAGGCACGUGUGCCUUUUUGUAUGUACUUUAUGAAUAAGCAUCGGCUACCUCCGUGCCAGCAGCCGCGGUAAUACGGAGGAUCCGAGCGUUAUCCGGAUUUAUUGGGUUUAAAGGGAGCGUAGAUGGGUUGUUAAGUCAGUUGUGAAAGGUUGGGGCUCAACCGUAAAAUUGCAAUUGAUACUGGCAGCCUUGAGUACAGGUGAGGUAGGCGGAAUGCGUGGUGUAGCGGUGAAAUGCUUAGAUAUCACGAAGAACCCCGAUUGCGAAGGCAGCUUACUAACCCGCCACUGACACUGAGGCUCGAAAGUGUGGGUAUCAAACAGGAUUAGAUACCCUGGUAGUC
rnacentral:rRNA from 1 species